CACUCGUUUUCGGGUUUGUUGCCCGUUUGUAAAAUAUUUUAUGACGGUAUACAUAUCAAUCUACGUCUCGUCCUGCUCAGUGCGUUUUGAGGGGGUGAAUCUUUUUCCAUCUCCUGAGUCGCACCUCCCCUGGUCAGCAAAGGGUCACUGCCGCAAUGGAGUCAUCCAAACUCAGAGGAUUAAUACACAUCCAUUUAUUGAGAGCGUUCUUAACAACUGACAACAGCCCAUUGGAGGUAACAUUGCCUAAUGGGCUAAUUACAAUUCAUAAGCCUUCGAGGUAACCAGUCAUAGGAAAUGGCUGCUAUGAAGACUCAAAGAAUCGAGGAAGCCACAUCCUGGUGUCAGGUGCAGAUCUUCAGCCUGAUGGGUCGUCGGAGGUGGUGGUGUUCAGCUGACGACUCACGACGACAGUACAACUUAUUUGUAAGUCCAAAGUGGUGGCACUCAGCCGCCUGCCGGCACUGCCCCACAGCUGUGCCUCUGCGCCCCUGGGGGCAGGAGCACAGGAGAGGCCCCUUCCGUGGGGACAGAGCUCUCUCCCCGCGCCCCACCACUGCGCAGCCCCGAGCUGGGAGGGGGGACUGAGAGGGGCGGUCAGAUGGGCAGCAGCCCAUCACAGACCACACGCAGGCUCCUGCUCGCAAAGUACGCCGGGGAAGCGUACAUUGCCUGGGGCAGCACUCGCAGCAGGAGCCGAUACAACAGCUCCUGGUCAUAGUGCUGGGCGUACAGCACUGCAGAGCCCAGCACGGCAACGAGCAGCAGCAGGAGGCUGACGAAGAUGAGGCAGAUUGUCCUGGGGGGCAAAAGACGGCCGGGCUGGGAAUGAGGCGUUCCGACCCCACGGCAGCACAGCCCCACACAGCGCCAAAGGGGCCGCCUGGGAGCCCCGCCGGUUGCAGCGGGGUCCAGGCCAUCAGCCCACUGCCUGGAGCCCGGCUGCUGCUGGCUGGGCACAGGGCAAUGAGGGGAUACUCACUUCAUCCAGAAGGCGAGCCCACGUCUCCUCGCCCGCUCCUUCUUCUCCUGUAGGUGAAGACGGGGCAGGGGUGCUGGUCAGGCCCUGCUGCACAGCCGGAGCUCGUGCAGGACAGUGGCAGCCCCAGCACUGCAGGGAGCCCUGUCCCCGAGGAG
ensembl:lncRNA